GUAGAUGUUAUUGGUUAUUUGGUUCGAUCAUUUCCUAAAGAGACUGUAACUAACAAAUUAACUGGAAAGCAGGCUGUUAAGGUUACUAUAGAGAUAUCUGAUCUGGAGGGUCGGACGGUAUUUCUUACUCUGUGGGAUCAAUACUGUGAUAAAGUUUUGUCGUUUUUUGAGAGUAUCAAGGGAAAAAAUAUUCAUGCAAUCAUUAUAUUGCAGUUUGGCAAGGUCAAGUGGUGGAAUGGGGUUGCGUAUGUUAACAAUUCAUACACCGUUAGUCGUCUUUUUUGCAAUCAUGAUUGUCCUGAAGUCGAUGAGUUCAGAAACCG